UAUCUUUCUAUUUGCCUCAUCUUAAAGUUCAUAAGAUCAGGUCAACUUCGGCGUUUUAUAUCUUGUCGUUACUUCACCUUGAUUUGAAAGGUUAACCAAGUUGAAACCCUGUUAAUGUUGCUUGUUUCAUGUACAGUUGUUGUUGAUGAUGAUAGUGAUGAUGAAGAGGAGAAAAGAUUGACCAUACAAUCAGGUCAACUUGGCCAGUUUCAAUCUUGAUGUUAACUGUAAAUUGAAAGGUUAACCAAAUCCUGUUGAUGAUCAUUUUCAUGAUGGUGUUAAUGAUGUAGAUGGUAAUGACGACGAUAAGGAUUAACCGGAAAUAAUUUCAUUUGCAAAAAGGAGACAAAAAAUAGUGAAUCGAAGAAAAAGGAAGCGAUUCGGAAUUGAAAUGACCAAAAAUCGGGCCUGACCGGGAUUUGAACCCGGGACCUCUCGCACCCAAAGCGAGAAUCAUACCCCUAGACCAUCAGGCCGCCAUAUAAGAACAUCGCUUAAAAUGUUAUAUAAUCAUUUUCCACGCGCUUUUCAACUGUUUCUUUAUAUUUCCAUAUAUUUCAUUAAAUUUUAUUAUUCAAAUCGAUUCGGCAGUAACCACUUGACUAACAAGUGACUUGAAAGUGACUUGAGUCUUUGGCUUCUUGCUUGUCAAUUGUCCAUUGAGAUUUUGGCUCCUACUGAAUCCAAACCAUUCCCCGCCAUGAGUCUACAACCUUUUCCUCCAGAGAAAUUUACUUUUUGCCCAACACACACCAACCUAUUCCGACCGUCUCUACUAAUGGCUGUAUAAUUAAGCGCUGGUGAUGGAUCAAAUUGAAGUAUUAGCUUAUUAUUUGAUGGCGAGAUUUUUUUCGAUCUUUAAUUCUGUCUACUUGUUUGAUAUUUUCAUUUAUUGUGCUUUUACCGUUUGGUGUGAAUGGUGUGAACCCGAAUUUCGUUCUUUUGGUUAACUCAAUGUUUAUCCAUUUUCGUAUUGAAUUUGGUUUUUGAAAUGUUGCAGUUGCUGCUUAUGAUUGAUAUUUGUGAAACAUUUGACAUAAAAGCAGAUAUUCAAUAUAAAAAUUGUGAUUCGUAUUGUAAA